rnacentral:rRNA from 1 species
ANUGCGCAGAUAUCAGGAGGAACACCGAUGGCGAAGGCAGGUCUNUGGGCAGUAACUGACGCUGAGGAGCGAAAGCAUGGGGAGCGAACAGGAUUAGAUACCCUGGUAGUCCAUGCUGUAAACGGUGGGCGUUAGGCGUGGGGACCGGUUUGGUUUCUGUGCCGUAGCUAACGCAUUAAGCGCCCCGCCUGGGGAGUACGGCCGCAAGGCUAAAACUCAAAGGAAUUGACGGGGGCCCGCACAAGCGGCGGAGCAUGUGGAUUAAUUCGAUGCAACGCGAAGAACCUUACCUGGGUUUGACAUGCACCAGACGGUUGUAGAGAUACGUACCUCCCUUUGUGGUUGGUGUGCAGGUGGUGCAUGGUUGUCGUCAGCUCGUGUCGUGAGAUGUUGGGUUAAGUCCCGCAACGAGCGCAACCCUUGUCUUAUGUUGCCAGCACUUUGGGUGGGGACUCAUGAGAGACUGCCGGGGUUAACUCGGAGGAAGGUGGGGAUGACGUCAAAUCAUCAUGCCCUUUAUGCCCAGGGCUUCACACAUGCUACAAUGGUUAGUACAACGCGCUGCGAACCUGUGAGGGUGAGCGAAUCGCUGAAAGCUAAUCUCAGUUCGGAUUGGGGUCUGCAACUCGACCCCAUGAAGUCGGAGUCGCUAGUAA